UACAGCGAUAUCACGUUGAAACACAUCUUCACAUACAAUCACCGAAGUUAAGCAACGACGUGCCUGGUCAGUACCUAGAUGGGAGACCACUUGGCAAUAGCAGGUGCUGUAAG